GCGCUGGUGAUUCCUUUCUGUUCGCGACAUCUCCUCUCGCGCGGCUAGGGCACGCGACCUCCCACCGCCGGCCGUCUCUUCUUCCUCACCACUGGCCAGCAGCUCUUUCUUCUCUUCACUGCCGUCGGCCGGACCUCCAUCGCCCACCCUUCUUCUUGAUUCCAGCAGCGACAGCAGCAAACACCGACGAUGACUCCGAGCAUCCAGGUCACCUGUACGCCAUGCGCCACCCAAAGCUGCGAAGCAUGACACCCUCCGCCGCUUUUAACUUCUUCAGGAGGUUACCUAGUAAAGUGGAUAUGCUUCUGUCAUCAUCGGCGCCAGGAACACCGAAGCUGCCAGUGAAGUAAAGCAGAGCAUUCUAUAGAGCACCCCCUCUGCUAGAAUCGACAUCAUACAGAUAGAACUCAGUUCGCUCAUGUCCGUCCGAGCCUUCGCCGAGAAGUUUCUUGCCAUGGAUCUUCCUCUAAACAUCUUGAUAAACAAUGCCGGCGUCAUGUACUAUCCGUUUCAACUUUCGGAGGAUGGGAUAGAGAUGCAGCUUUCUACCAAUCAUGUCGGUGAGUAUCUUCUUCACCAUCUCAAAACGACUUCAUUUAGUAAUCGUAAACGAGCAAUUCUUUUUAAGAUUUCCACAUGUUCAUUUUCCAUAUGAUCUUGCAGUGUGGUUUCGUUUUGAUUUCAGGUCAUUUUCUUCUGACCAAACUUCUGCUUGACAAAAUGAAAAGCACAGCAGAGAGGAUAGGAAUUGAGAGCCGUAUUGUGAAUCUGUCAUCCGAAGCUCACAUGACAACAUAUAGAAGAGGAAUAAGAUUCGACAAACUCAACGACAAAGACUUGUGAGAGACCAUUGAUUUUGUAGUUAGACAAACUAAAUCAAUGAAAAUUAGAAGGUGCCAGGUAGAGGAAGAACUAUAUAUGAUAGCAUAGGACUCAUCUUAUGAUGUUAUAUCUAUCCAAGGUCUGGUUGAAGAUUACUUGUGUCUUAAUUUGAAACCUUUUGUCUAACAGCUGCCAUGAUAUUCAUCUAUUUCUUUCCUAGGUGUCUGACUCAAUUAUUUUCCUGAGUGAGAAAUAAACAUAAACCUGUUGUGAAUUCUUAACAUCUAUCAAACUCUUUCCAUCAAAUCACGCAAUAGUCUAUCAGGGGUAAGGAUAGCUGAAAAGUGAAAUGCUAUCAUUCAUAGGAAAACCCUUUGGAUGCUGAUAGGUUAGCUAAUUGAGUCUUUGCUAUUUUAGAGCUUCAUGUAGAUUUCAUUUCAUGUCUUAGGUUUCGUUCUAUGUUUUUCUUCAUGUUGUCUUUCAUAUUGAGUAAUGUUUUAUGUGAAUGUUAAGUGCUUGUAUUAAUUUGACCUCCUAUGUUUCAAUUUGCACACAUUAUGAUUUCAUCGACUCAUGCCCAUUAAGUGUUUUAUUAGUUUCCUGAUCCAUUUUUUUCCUUCUUUCUACUAUUGGCGAAUCUAGUUGUGAUAUUUUUACUUCGAUUAGGGUUACAUGGAGAGAAACAAAAUGAUUGGGAGUGGAAUUUAAAAAUGCUUGUGUCCUGAUCAAUGACUCGCUGUAAUUGUGCCUGAUAGUUGCUGAUGUGAUCCUUUGGAGGAAGAAGAAUGUAACUAUGGGAAUUCUCAUCGGUGUACUUGCAUCUUGGAUCAUCUGUGAGGUAGCUGGAUAUACCCUUCGUCGCUUGUCUCAAAUGUUCUGCUUCUCUUGAUCUCCAUCCUUUUUGUGUGGGCAAAGGAUGCCGAAGUUCUCAACAGAUACACAGUGGUAGGUGUUUUGUCCCAGUCUCAAGCCGACAAUCCUUUUUGAUCAGUAUAUCUAGUAGAAGUAAGCACGCAGAUCGUUGUCUUCGAGGCCGACUAGCUAUUUUUGUGCUUUUUUUGUUUUAAAUUCGAAUGUCACUAUCUACUUUGAAAUAGAACUAUUUAGUCUUUGUGUAUAGUUGAAUUCUCCUGUAAAUACUAAUACUUUGUAAUUGAAUUCUAUUGUUUUGGUA